AGGGAUAUUGGUCAAUGGGCGCAGGCCUGAACCAGCCAAGUAGCGUGAAGGAUGACUGCCCUAUGGGUUGUAAACUUCUUUUAUAAAGGAAUAAAGUCGGGUAUGUAUACCCGUUUGCAUGUACUUUAUGAAUAAGGAUCGGCUAACUCCGUGCCAGCAGCCGCGGUAAUACGGAGGAUCCGAGCGUUAUCCGGAUUUAUUGGGUUUAAAGGGAGCGUAGACGGGCCGUUAAGUCAGCUGUGAAAGUUUGAGGCUCAACCUUAAAAUUGCAGUUGAUACUGGCGUCCUUGAGUACGGUUGAGGCAGGCGGAAUUCGUGGUGUAGCGGUGAAAUGCUUAGAUAUCACGAAGAACCCCGAUUGCGAAGGCAGCCUGCUAAACCGCCACUGACAUUGAGGCUCGAAAGUGUGGGUAUCAAACAGGAUUAGAUACCCUGGUAGUCCACACGGUAAACGAUGAAUACUCGCUGUUUGCGAUAUACUGCAAGCGGCCAAGCGAAAGCGUUAAGUAUUCCACCUGGGGAGUACGCCGGCAACGGUGAAACUCAAAGGAAUUGACGGGGGCCCGCACAAGCGGAGGAACAUGUGGUUUAAUUCGAUGAUACGCGAGGAACCUUACCCGGGCUUAAAUUGCAGAUGAAUUGCGGUGAAAGCCGUAAGCCGCAAGGCAUCUGUGAAGGUGCUGCAUGGUUGUCGUCAGCUCGUGCCGUGAGGUGUCGGCUUAAGUGCCAUAACGAGCGCAACCCUUGUUGUCAGUUACUAACAGGUUCCGCUGAGGACUCUGACAAGACUGCCAUCGUAAGAUGUGAGGAAGGUGGGGAUGACGUCAAAUCAGCACGGCCCUUACGUCCGGGGCUACACACGUGUUACAAUGGGGGGUACAGAGGGCCGCUACCACGCGAGUGGAUGCCAAUCCCCAAAACCUCUCUCAGUUCGGACUGGAGUCUGCAACCCGACUCCACGAAGCUGGAUUCGCUAGUAAUCGCGCAUCAGCCACGGCGCGGUGAAUACGUUCCCG
rnacentral:rRNA from 1 species